rnacentral:rRNA from 1 species
AGAGUUUGAUCMUGGCUCAGAUUGAACGCUGGCGGCAUGCCUUACACAUGCAAGUCGAACGGCAGCACGGGAGCAAUCCUGGUGGCGAGUGGCGAACGGGUGAGUAAUAUAUCGGAACGUGCCCAGUCGUGGGGGAUAACGCAGCGAAAGCUGUGCUAAUACCGCAUACGAUCUCUGGAUGAAAGCGGGGGACUCGCAAKGGCCUCGCGCGAUUGGAGCGGCCGAUAUCAGAUUAGCUAGUUGGUGGGGUAAAAGCUCACCAAGGCGACGAUCUGUAGCUGGUCUGAGAGGACGACCAGCCACACUGGAACUGAGACACGGUCCAGACUCCUACGGGAGGCAGCAGUGGGGAAUUUUGGACAAUGGGCGAAAGCCUGAUCCAGCAAUGCCGCGUGCAGGAUGAAGGCCUUCGGGUUGUAAACUGCUUUUGUACGGARCGAAACGGCUCACYCUAAUACGGUGGGCUAAUGACGGUACCGUAAGAAUAAGCACCGGCUAACUACGUGCCAGCAGCCGCGGUAAUACGUAGGGUGCGAGCGUUAAUCGGAAUUACUGGGCGUAAAGCGUGCGCAGGCGGUUAUGUAAGACAGAUGUGAAAUCCCCGGGCUCAACCUGGGACCUGCAUUUGUGACUGCAWGGCUAGAGUACGGUAGAGGGGGAUGGAAUUCCGCGUGUAGCAGUGAAAUGCGUAGAUAUGCGGAGGAACACCGAUGGCGAAGGCAAUCCCCUGGACCUGUACUGACGCUCAUGCACGAAAGCGUGGGGAGCAAACAGGAUUAGAUACCCUGGUAGUCCACGCCCUAAACGAUGUCAACUGGUUGUUGGGUCUUYACUGACUCAGUAACGAAGCUAACGCGUGAAGUUGACCGCCUGGGGAGUACGGCCGCAAGGUUGAAACUCAAAUGAAUUGACGG